rnacentral:rRNA from 1 species
UACGUAGGUGGCAAGCGUUGUCCGGAAUUAUUGGGCGUAAAGCGCGCGCAGGCGGUCCUUUAAGUCUGAUGUGAAAGCCCACGGCUCAACCGUGGAGGGUCAUUGGAAACUGGGGGACUUGAGUGCAGGAGAGAAGAGUGGAAUUCCACGUGUAGCGGUGAAAUGCGCAGAUAUCAGGAGGAACACCAGUGGCGCAAGCGGCUAUCUGGACGAGUAUUGACGCUGAGGCACGAAAGCGUGGGGAUCAAACAGG